AGUGGGGAAUAUUGCACAAUGGGCGCAAGCCUGAUGCAGCCAUGCCGCGUGUAUGUAAGAAGGCCUUCGGGUUGUAAAGUACUUUCAGCAGUGAGGAAGGUGGGUAUGUUAAUAGCAUAUUCAUUUGACGUUAGCUGCAGAAGAAGCACCGGCUAACUCCGUGCCAGCAGCCGCGGUAAUACGGAGGGUGCGAGCGUUAAUCGGAAUUACUGGGCGUAAAAGCGCAUGCAGGUGGUUUGUUAAGUCAGAUGUGAAAGCCCGGGGCUCAACCUCGGAAUUGCAUUUGAAACUGGCAAACUAGAGUACUGUAGAGGGGGUAGAAUUUCAGGUGUAGCGGUGAAAUGCGUAGAGAUCUGAAGGAAUACCGGUGGCGAAGGCGGCCCCCUGGACAGAUACUGACACUCAGAUGCGAAAGCGUGGGGAGCAAACAGGAUUAGAUACCCUGGUAG
rnacentral:rRNA from 1 species